rnacentral:rRNA from 1 species
UAAGGAAUAUUGGACAAUGGAGGCAACUCUGAUCCAGCCAUGCCGCGUGAAGGAAUAAAGCCCUAUGGGUUGUAAACUUCUUUUAGACGGGACAAAACCCCUUUACGUGUAAAGGGUUGAUGGUACUGUCAGAAUAAGCAUCGGCUGACUUCGUGCCAGCAGCCGCGGUAAUACGAAGGAUGCAAGCGUUAUCCGGCAUUAUUGGGUUUAAAGGGUGCGUAGGCGGACUAAUAAGUCAGUGGUGAAAGCCUGCAGCUUAACUGCAGAAUUGCCAUUGAUACUGUUAGUCUUGAGUACAGUUGAGGUAGGCGGAAUGUGUCAUGUAGCGGUGAAAUGCUUAGAUAUGACACAGAACACCGAUUGCGAAGGCAGCUUGCUAAGCUGUAACUGACGCUGAGGCACGAAAGCGUGGGGAGCAAACA